CUUGGUCAUUUAGAGGAAGUAAAAGUCGUAACAAGGUCUCCGUUGGUGAACCAGCGGAGGGAUCAUUACCGAGUUUACAACUCCCAAACCCCUGUGAACAUACCUAUACGUUGCCUCGGCGGAUCAGCCCGCGCCCCGUAAAACGGGACGGCCCGCCGCAGGACCCACAAACCCUGAAUUUUAUUGUAACUUCUGAGUUUAAAAAACAAAUAAAUCAAAACUUUCAACAACGGAUCUCUUGGUUCUGGCAUCGAUGAAGAACGCAGCAAAAUGCGAUAAGUAAUAUGAAUUGCAGAAUUCAGUGAAUCAUCGAAUCUUUGAACGCACAUUGCGCCCGCCAGUAUUCUGGCGGGCAUGUCUGUUCGAGCGUCAUUUCAACCCUCAAGCUCAGCUUGGUGUUGGGACUCGCGGUAACCCGCGUUCCCCAAAUCGAUUGGCGGUCACGUCGAGCUUCCAUAGCGUAGUAAUCAUACACCUCGUUACUGGUAAUCGUCGCGGCCACGCCGUUAAACCCAACUUCUGAAUGUUGACCUCGGAUCAGGUAGGAAUACCCGCUGAACUUAAGCAUAUCAAUAAGCGGAG
rnacentral:rRNA from 1 species